GUAGGGACCGAGCGUUGUCCGGAGUUAUUGGGCGUAAAGCGCGCGCAGGCGGCUGAUCAAGCCCGACGUGAAAGCCCCCGGCUUAACCGGGGAGGGUCGUUGGGGACUGGUUGGCUUGAGGGCGGGAGAGGUCGGUGGAAUUCCCGGUGUAGUGGUGAAAUGCGUAGAGAUCGGGAGGAACACCUGUGGCGAAGGCGGCCGACUGGGCCGACCCUGACGCUGAGGCGCGAAGGCGUGGGGAGCGAACGGGAUUAGAUACCCCGGUAGUCCACGCAGUAAACGAUGCAGACUAGGCGUGGGUGGACUUGACCCCAUCCGUGCCGAAAAUAACGCGGGAAGUCUGCCGCCUGGGGAGUACGGCCGCAACGGGGUG
rnacentral:rRNA from 1 species